GCUAAAUUCAAUAAAUUGAACACAUUCAAUUCAGCUAUAAAGCACAAGACAAUAUUAUCAUUAUCACCUCAAUUCAGUUCAUAAAUCAUUCUUAUCUGAUGGCAUCAGUGCUCUCAAAUUGAUAAUAUUACUAAAUAUUUAAUAUCUUUUAAACCCCAACUAAGUAGUGGCAAGGAACCAUCAGGUGACAGAAAUGGAGAAAAACCCUGGAAACGUGGACUUUUUUGAUCAAAGUCGGAUGAUCUCUGAUGAGCUCAUGACAAGCGAGGGCGACGUGCGACGCAGCAGGACCAGUUCACUGAUCGUGGAUGAAAUUAGAGGUCUUCAGAUCUACUGCUGGUGAGACUGAUAAUAGAUGGUUGAUUUAAUGUGCCAACAAGAUUUUACCACAACUUUUCUAUCAUCCCUCGGCUUGCCAAAUGAUAGGACGUAACGAAGGUUUCAGGUAUGCUGCAAAACUGAUUCUAGGUGAAAUGGAUUUAAAUACAUCACAAUAUUUUAGAAUGCUACACUCUUACUGGUAGCUGAAAGCAGGAUUGAAUUAGUCUAAAUAGAUAAUACACACAAAUGCAAAGUUUACACAAGGCUCACAGAUUGGGAAAUAUGGCAGUCUGUCAUAACUGAUCCAGUUUGACCUGUGGACAGCAGAGGUGUGAGCAUGCAUGUGUGCUGACGGAAUAAAAAUCCUUCUGAAGUAUCUCUAGUGUGUUCA
ensembl:lncRNA